AUGCCUAACACCCACAUAGGCAUCGCUACAUCAGUCUCCAUAGGAACAAACACUUUGCCACACGGAAAAGGGAGAUCAGCGGGCGCGGGGUGGCAUAGGGAAUCCCGGUCGCGAUGGGGACAGCAGCCGCGGGCACUUGUGGAUAUCGCCGUCUUCACCGCCGCGACGGCGGCGGUACACCACCAGUUCGCCCUCGGUACAGAGAACGAGAUGUCGGGGAGGAGGUCACCUGCGCCUCAUGGCCGUCGUCGGGGCCAACCAGAUGAGCAAAGGGACCUGGCGGUGGCGAACCGUGCCGGCGCCUGA
rnacentral:rRNA from 1 species